UUUAUUUGGUCCGCCAAAUCUGUUACAUAGAAAAAAGACUCAGCAAAACCCAAAAAACACAAACCUUUUUCUUCUCUUACAAUUCAGUCUGUCACUCUCAUUUCAUCGAUUCUCUCCAAGCCUCCACGAGAGAGUGCUCAAACCACAAAGACGUUGUUCUCCUCCACCGGCGGUUAGAUCGGUCUACUCCAACCUCACGAAGUCGGUCUCCACCCCAUCGACUCGACUUAGCAAACAUCGAAGGUCUAUGGAACCGUCUAUCUUGAAGGUACUCUUGCUCGGCUUUGGUGUGCAUCUCGUCAUCAUCCUCACUAGGUUCCGUGGUGAUCUUUACUCCUACCUCGCCAAUCUCCAAGGUCACAAUAAGGUACCUCUCUAUUAUGAUGGGAUUGGGGGCAUGCGUUUGUCAUUAAAACUUUCUAACUCUAGCCAAACACCUAUAGAUCUUCAUUGGAUUUCAAAUUGGAAGGAAACUUUAUUUAUAAUAGUUUGCAAGAGAUGAACCAUAGUGAAACCAAAACACCACCUUCUAGAAUUGAUGUUUGGACCAAAGCACAUAAGAAGAAAAAUGGUGAACCAGUAAAUUCAGAAGUGGCUGAAGCUUUUGAUUUGGUUGAAGAAUAUAAGAAAGAUCCUGCUAUGUCUUCAACUACAAGUGUUAAUGAAGACAUCCUCACAAAAGUCCUUGGUCCUGAAAAAAAUACAUACAUAUGAGCUUUUGGAAGAGGAGUUACUCGAUCAAAGUUGCAAAUUGUGUUAGAAAGAGAUGACCAUAUGAUGAUGAUAGAAGGUUAAUGCAAAGAGUUGAAAGAUAAAAUGCAACACAUAGAGCAACUCAUUGUUUCUUUAAUGAAAAAUUAAAAUACAUCUGCUCACAGUGAGGAGCAAUCAAAUGCCAAUGUUCAAUCAAAUUCUCAUGUUCAUUCCACUCAGAGUGUCAAGAACCACACAUUUGGCUCCAAAUGUAAAAUUUAGUUUGGAUUGGAUCUGGAGAAAUUAUUGCAGACGGCUAUUUUAUUUCAAGUGACCCAAAGGAUGAGGUUCACUAUGUUCCUCUUGGGCCUAGUGCUAUGAAAGUGGGGAUAUCUUGUGAGAAAGAAUGAUGCAUUUCUGUGGAGGCCUUCAACAGUUAUGUCUACUAUAGAAGAUGUUAUAGGUAGUAUAAUUGCAUGGCCAGCUGAUAAAGUCGUAAUUAGGUAAUUAACUUUUUUUAUGUACUCUUUUAGUUUACUAUUAACUUUAAGUUGAAGCAUUAAUUAUUUAAAUUUUGUUGUAGCUAAGCAAAUGGACUCACAACAAAGACAAGUGCACAAAGGAUGAUGAAUUGAAGGAUGGAGCAAGUUUCAUGCAUGGUUUACUUUUGUGUAUCUUGUAAUGUUUUUGUUUUUCAUUUUUGAAGUAAAAAAUGUUCAAGAUUA